GAUGAACGCUGGCGGCGUGCUUAACACAUGCAAGUCGAACGAUGAAGCCCAGCUUGCUGGGUGGAUUAGUGGCGAACGGGUGAGUAACACAUGAGUAACCUGCCCUUAACUCUGGGAUAAGCCUGGGAAACUGGGUCUAAUACCGGAUAGGAGCGUCCACCGCAUGGUGGGUGUUGGAAAGAUUUAUCGGUUUUGGAUGGACUCGCGGCCUAUCAGCUUGUUGGUGAGGUAAUGGCUCACCAAGGCGACGACGGGUAGCCGGCCUGAGAGGGUGACCGGCCACACUGGGACUGAGACACGGCCCAGACUCCUACGGGAGGCAGCAGUGGGGAAUAUUGCACAAUGGGCGCAAGCCUGAUGCAGCGACGCCGCGUGAGGGAUGACGGCCUUCGGGUUGUAAACCUCUUUCAGUAGGGAAGAAGCGAAAGUGACGGUACCUGCAGAAGAAGCACCGGCUAACUACGUG
rnacentral:rRNA from 1 species